UACGUGGGGGGUAAGCGUUGUUCGGAAUUACUGGGCGUAAAGGGCUCGUAGGCGGCCAACUAAGUCAGACGUGAAAUCCCUCAGCUUAACUGGGGAACUGCGUCUGAUACUGGAUGGCUUGGAUCCGGGAGAGGGAUGCGGAAUUCCAGGUGUAGCGGUGAAAUGCGUAGAUAUCUGGAGGAACACCGGUGGCGAAGGCGGCAUCCUGGACCGGUAUUGACGCUGAGGAGCGAAAGCGAGGGGAGCAAACGGG
rnacentral:rRNA from 1 species